AAAGAAUCAUCAAUUGAACAUGUUGAUAUUUUCGUGCACUUUUUUCAACCACAUUCCCACGAAGUCAACGACAGCAGACGACGCACACUGUUGCGACGUCAUCACUUCAAAAAUAACAACAUUUAUAUUAUUGAAAAAAAAUUAUUAAACAGAAUCAACAUCAACGUAUUUCUGAAAAUUACUUUUGACCACGUGACGAGAUCCAUCAUAUGGCAGCACUGCAACUUUCCUUAAGAACAAAGCAAACAACAAAGGAAAAUCAACAAGGCAAUAAAAGAUUCCACAUGUUUAUUCGAAUUCCAGAUUUUUUUAUUCAAACUGCCAAAAGUGUGAACACGCACAUAAUGAAAUUAAAACCAUCGGCUAAUACGGUUACACUUGCUCCCCAGAAAUAGUACCUAAUAUAACCAUGGCUGAAUAAAGGAGGUGGUUAGCUAUAUAAUAAUUUUUGAUGGGAGGCAAUUCGCAAUUCACUGUUGCUUCUUGCGCUUCUUUUUUUUUUUUUUUCUUUUCGUUUUAUUUCAUAUUCAUAUAGAAUUAUUGAAGAUGGCGCACUGCGCUCCCGAUGGAAGGUAUAUUUACAAUACAUAUCCAAACGGGAUAUUCUAUAGUUGUAACACAAAAUCUGUUUCCUCUUACCUCUUCCUCACUUUACUCCCCUUAAAUUAACUGUGGGAGUUCCAGUAUGUAUAACAACGGUUUCGUUAAAUGGAUAUUUUCCCUUUCACCUUUUGAA